CAGGUCUGCAGGUCCUCCAGGGGGUCUGCAGGUCCUGCAGGUCUGCAGGUCCUCCAGGGGGUCUGCAGGUCCUGCAGGUCUGCAGGUCCUCCAGGGGGUCAGUGUUGUCUCUCAGGACGAGUCUUGGGUCGAGUCUUUGUGUUUUCGUCUGGCUGCUGUUUAAAGUUGGACCAAAUGUGCAUGCUCCUUUCUCCUCUCUGCUCCUCUGAAUGUAUAUUUAAAAUGUAUAUUUAUGUCCAGGGGACGUGUGUCCGUGUGUCCUGACGCUGUGGGGACGUGUCUUCUGUCUUGUGUCCCCGUUAGAACGAAGGACAAAGAGACUUUGGGUGCUAACGGUGCAGCUCGUCGUCUUCAGAGGGAUUUUUCCACAAACUGUUUGUUACGUCAGAUCUUUGACCGCUUUAGGAGAACGCUGAGCUCAGUAUUCACCCUGUGACGGACGCUGUUAUUAUUAUUAGAAUAUUAUGAUAAUAAAUAUUAUUAUUAUUAUUAUUAUUAUUAUUAAAUAUGAUAACAGACAGCCAGAUGGGUCAACGUUUGAAUGUUUACUCCAAUUUUAGAGAAAAAGCUGCAUGUCAAACUGUAUUUUGAUGCUGUGCCUUUCGAUAUACAUUUCUAAGUGAUAUUUCUAUUUUGCUUUGCAAAUGUAAACUGUUGUGUAUAAAAUACAGUUAUGGGCAUAAAUGACUGUUUGUUUUGUUGUUUUUAUAAACCACUCUGAUUUUUGAAACG